rnacentral:lncRNA from 1 species
GUCCGCAGCCCUGUUGGGGCCCUGAGAGACCGGCCCACCAGUGCCCAGAGGUCAGAGGAGGCGGGUCUGGGCUUGGGAGGCCCUGUGGGAUCUUGGCAGGCAGAGAAGUGGAAGGAACGGAGGAAGGUGGCUUCUCAGGCACGGGGGGAGCACCGGCCAAGUGGGUAGUGGGGAGGCCCAGAGUCCAGCAGCUGCACCCAGGCUUGCGUGUCUGGGGAGGACAGCCCGGCCCAGGCUCUUUCUGCACUGAAGCUGGAACCCACCAGGGUCGGGUUGCUCUGUUAGCUCCAGCACACGGAGCAAACACACAAAGAUUAGCAAACUUCUUUCCGGUGAGCUGAGUCAAAGCGGAUGAGCAAACACGGGCGCCCUGUGAGUCUGGCGUCUUCACCUGUGAGAAGGCAGACAAGCCCCUCACUGGCCCCGGAGGAGGAAUCACUGUUUGGUUUGAGAGGCGAGAGUGAGGCCCAGCGGGGUCAGGAGAAGGGCCCGGGCGCCCCAGGCAUGGGGGAAAUGCCCAGGAGAAACAGCCAGAACCAGGGAGGAGCCUUCCUGGCACACUGGAGAGCUUCCUCGGGAAGGCAGACGCGUUCGCAGAGGGCCUGGCCCACGGGGGUCGGCUGGCAGGAGCGAGGAGCAGAGAUCGCAGGAGCCACGGUGGUGGGUGAGCCCUGAACUAUACAUCAGACUCGGAAAACGGCAGCGUUGCAGGGGACAUUCAGCUAACCGUGAGGCCUGAUGAGGGCGUGAUGACGGUGGCGCAGCCGGAGGGCCCCCCUCUCAGGCAGCUGGCCCCUGGGAUGGGCUGGCAGCAGGUGGCAGCCAAGAAUAUUUGACCCCCUGCUCCAGAGGGCACCCCACCUCCACAGGCACACACACAUCUAUGCCCUGAGCUGGGACGAGCUGCACAGAGCGGGCUGGGGGCUGCUCCCUGGAAAAGAGGCAGCAGGUCCCUGGGACGCCUGGAGCCGCUUCUCCCGGUGCCAGCCUUGCCCUCUGCGUACUGGACAGCAACAAGCCCAGGCACAGGAACCCUGCCCAGGAGCCACCCUGUGAACCUGCCCCAGGAAACCCACCCCACUUCCAGCUUUGGUUUAACUUCCAGUCCUUCCAUGUGGCCUGUGUCACUAGGACCAGGAAUUGAAUCACUGCCAUCAUUGGGACUGAAAUUCCUACCCAGGCUCCUGCUGCGCGCUCCACAGCCGUGUGAAUCUUGGCAGAACACUGGGCUCCUCUAACCUCAGUCUGCUCGUGGAUACAAUGGCCGCAAUGCUUCCUUCCUUACUGGGCUGUGGGAGGAUGGACAGAUCACAUGUGGGAAGCGGGACAGGGAUGAGGGAUGUGGCAGCCCUUGCGCUGUAUACAUCAUGAUAAUGUCUUCUUCUGAUUACUUCCCAGCAUGGGACCUGGCACACAGUAGGUGUGCAACAAUGCUUAUUGAAUUCAUACAUUUGCAUGCACACACACACACACACACACACACACACAUACACACAUGUCAGGCGACCUACAAGGGUUAUGUGGGCACCACCGCCCUAGCUCCAACUCAUCCCAACCCCGUCUGCCUAGGACAGUGGCCGUGAUGCCCGCAGAAGCAGCCUCCGCACCCCCAUUUCUGGUGCCGCCUCUGCCCUGCGGAAUCCUGGCCGACACCACAGGCGGAUGGAUUUUGGUCCAUGGCACUUGAUCACUUCCAUACAAUGGGGAGAGCCUGCUGAGGGCAGAGCUGAGGCAAGCAUGGCUGUAAAUCAUCAAAACCACCACCAUCAGGCGCUGGUCUUGGUCUUGGGAGUGUCUGCUCUGUUUUGGCUAAUUGGCUUCCUACUUAUGAACGCACGUGCACACCCAGCCUCUCCCCCAGACGCCUCUCACGUGGGCCUGUUCCUGAGAGCUGUCCAUAGACCCACGAGGCUGGAAGAAGAGCUCCAUCUGACCGGGUGCAGCCUCUGCGGGUGCCCAGGAAGGCUAGGAGAGUCAGAGGUGGUGGUGGUCAUUUUCCCACCUCCAUAACCGGGACGCCAGGACUGGGGACAAGGUCUUGCAAGUGCUGUAACAAAGGCCUGAAAACCAAGGCACGUUCCUACAAUCACAACAGUGGCCCUGCUUAUCAGGCACUUGACAGAAUGCCAGGCUCAGUGUGCCAUGCUUGCAAACAUUGUCUUACAAUUUAACCAGUCAGCACUUUGGAAAGGAACAAGGCUCUGUAAAAAUACACCAAUAGGCAAAAUGAUACAGCAUUCUAUAUGUUAGUGCAAAUGAGUAAAAACCCCAUGGUGUCUUCUGGUCACUCCAACAAACCUGCCCAGCCUUCAGCACCAAGCCUCUGCUGUGCGUGCUGCCCCUGAGCACUCCUCUGGAUGUCCCGAGCCCCCUGACUCCGGGUUUGGUGCCAUGCACUGCCAACCCACUUACCCCGGCUGUGGGUGCAGAGGGUAAGCUCUGUCUUGUGGAUGUGCUGGUGAAUUUUACCACCCAGCCAUUUCAUUCAGAUUACUUCUGCCCAUCCAGUUUGGGGUACUCUCUGCUCCUGCACCACACACAUCUCCACUGCAUGGGUCUGCGGUUGCUGUAACAUUGCUCUGUAACAAACAGUCCCCCAGGCUCGGUGGCUCACAGCAACACACGUGUGUUUCUCUCACUCCCGGGCCUGUGGUCCAUCUGGGGUUGGCCGUCCUGGUUGGGGAUGGCUGGGCUCCACGGAGCUCAGCUGCACUUGGCUCCAGGCUGUGAGUCAGUUUCGGGAUGGCUCCACAUGCCUCACGCUGGGGUCUGUUCUUCUCUUGAUGGUGACCAAAGAGUGCGGGUCAAACCACACCACGUAAGCUCGCGGAUGGUCUGCUCGUGUGUCUCGGCUGCUGUUCCAUCUGCCAAAGCAGACCACAAGGCCAGGCUCCGAGUCAGCAGGAUGAGAGUGUAGACCCCCACUGAACUCUGCUGGAGGGCACCGUGAGGUCACACAGUGCAGGGAGGGAGUGGGGAAUGGGGAUGGGUGACCGCAUCUUCCACACGUGUCCUCAGCACUCUCUCCAGUUUAUUCACACAUCUGCGCCUGUCCAGGCUGUCCCUCCUGAGGACAGGCCCCUGCCUGUUCUCCCUGGACAGGAGAGUGGAGGUUUGUUAAGUACAGAGCCAGGCCAGGCCCUGAGGGUGCAGAUCUCAGCAAGACAAGCUCAAGUUCAGAGUCAAGAAGGGACGUCAGUACUUAGGUAAUGGCAUUCCUCCCAGCUUAGCAGGGCUCAGGAAGAGGAAUGGAGAUGAGGCCAGGAGCAUUUGUGUGUGAAUGACGGAACAGGAAAGUCUUCGCAGGGGAGGUGGCCCCAUAAAGGAGCGCCACAGGCUGGAUGGGAUUUUAGCAGGCAGAGGAAUGGGUGGAGGGCAUCCUGGAAGAGGGCACUGCCUGGGCAAAGACCUGGAGACGAGAAAGUCUGUGCCGUUCAUUGUUUAGCCUGGCUAGCCCUGCUGCCACUUGCUGGGCAAGCUGCCCUCCCUCCCUGGGCCUGGACGUUGCGGAGGGUCCACAGCCCUAGGACCCCAUCAAAGGCAAUUCCCCGGCACUUGAGUUGUUCCCUGAGAACUCCUUCAAGCUCCUCUGGCACCAGCUCUAAAUUAACUAGUAACUAGGAACCUCUGAUCUCAUUAUGUGAAUUAUAAUUGUCCUGUUCUUUAAUAAUUCAUGGCUGUGGAGCCCCAGGACACGGAGGCUCAGGAGAGCCACACAGCAGGCAGCUGGAAGGGGAGGCCGGGUGGCUUAAAGGUGGCUCACAAAUACUCUAGUUCACGAUAAUUCGCAAAAUAAGUAAUACACAUCCCCAGUGCCCUUAGGCUAGGAAGGUAUUUCAAUACCAACCAGUUGAAAUCACUGCAGGGAGAGAGGUUAUUCUCCCACAUUAAAUACGUCCUUGUCUCCCAAGAAUUCAAGACCCUGGACAGAGAGAGGACAUUUAAGGAAAUGAAUCCUGCGCAGGAAGCAUUUGUUCAAGAUGUUCUGAUCCCUGCCCAUACACACCACUUCCAGACAGUGCAGACCAGGAGACAGAAAGACCUGUAUUCCCAAAUAGGCUCCUGUGUCUUGUAGCUAUAUGCGCUUGGACACAUCCCUUAGCCUCCAUGAGCCUCCGUGUAUCCAUCUGUGGAAUGGGCAGGUGAUCCCUGCUUGGGCCGGUCCUCCAGGAGGCCUGGGAGAAUGAAGGGAGAUGGGUGUGUGAAGAUGCACGAGGAGGUUCUCACCCUGUGAACAUGGAGGAGGCUGGGCAGAAGAAGGGCAAUGAGGGGUCCCAGGGGGGCACAGGGAGGGGAAGGAAUGAGGAGAGAGAGGUUGGUCACCCCAGGCCUGGGGCAGUGACUCUGGCAGUAAACAGGGACCCAGUGACCUCAGAUGUCACUUGCAGGAGGCCCAUGAAGCCUGGGCCCACCUGCUCUCUCUGCAGGUGUGUGAACAGCCCCCAGCAGCCCCCAGACAUGAGGGCUGAUGCACUAAAGACCCUCGCUUGUGCCAAGGAUGUGUGGGAGCCUGGCUGCAGCUGGC